GAAUUGAAUAUGCACCCAGCGGCAGUGGUCUCGUAGGAAAUGGUGUUCUCGUAAGUCAGGCUGCCCCGCUGAAGCACAAGAGCUGUGGUUAGAGCUCGGAGCGUCAGUUCUGGUGGGAGUGCUGCAGGCUGUCCGCUUGGGCUGAGCUGUCCACUGGUCCAGGUGCUGAAGUGUGGAGCAUUUGGGUCCGCUCGCUGCCAUGACACUCAAUCAAAGCACCUAGAGUGAGCUGGUCAUGACCAGAGUCCGCAUGAAGCAGAGCAAAUACCAAGGAGAGCGCUGGGUGACCACCAGAAUUGGAAAUAGAACAGCCAUUUGGAAGAUCUGGGCAGGAAGCAAUAGAGCACAGCUUUGGAGCCUUCUUUAGGGAAAUCGAGUUAUGGAUUUAUGGUCCCGGUCAAGCUCAGCCCAGCCCUAGCCAGGGGCGGGCUCCGCAGCAAGAGUUCUUUCUGGCGGCGGCGGCGGUGGCGGCAGCGGCAGCGGCAGCAGUGACAGCGGUAGCAGAGGCAGAGGCAGCGGCAGCUUGGCCCUCUGACUCUCUUCGGUGACGGGUAUUCUUGGGUGGAUAAUACGGAUUACGUUGUUAUUGCUUAAGAAUACGCGUAGUCGAGGAGAGUACCAGCGGCAGGCGGGCAGCGGCCGCCCCUCCCAGCCCACCAGCUGGCCACUAAAAGCUCCCGGUUGCCAAGAAGUGUGAGCGAGUAAUUUUGCUGGAUGUCCACGUAUUUCAGUUGAGCCAUUUGAAGACAUUAGGAGUGGGGUUAUUGAAGCCCUCCCUUGCUCUAGGACAAUGCAAGCCUGCCUCUGUGUUCACCACAGGUAUGUGUUCAUGAGUUCUUCCUUAAUAGAUUGCCCAGAUAUCACAGAAUUGCGACACUUUGUUUAGUAUAUGGUCAUGGUGAAUAGUACCUAUCUGUAUUUUUAUUAUUUUAACAAAAAUUAAAAUUCUCAGCCUAUCCUAUGUUAUGUAAAGCAAGUAUCCACACCCAAUUGUCUCUUCUUCUAUGAAAAAAACAAAACAAAACAAAAAAACCCCAAAAAAACCAAAAACUUGUCACUUCUUUCAGAAAAUCUACUUCCAGUUGAUUAAAGUUUGCUCCACCUCCAUCAAAUAUACUUUUUUCCAGAUUAUUAAGUUUUUAAAACAUUUAUUUUUUUACAUCCUAAUUCUGUCCCCCC
rnacentral:lncRNA from 1 species